CCCACGUCCUCCAGCACAGCUGCAGGUGGAGGGCUGGGGCCGGGGCGGGGGCCUCCCGGGGAGAGGUUUUUGUUCAAGCCUGAGUCACUGUGCUGGAUCUUCGGUGGAGGGACCAAGCUGACCGUCCUGGGUCAGCCCAAGUCCGCACCCUCGGUCACUCUGUUCCCGCCCUCCACGGAGGAGCUCAGCGCCAACAAGGCCACCCUGGUGUGUCUCAUCAGCGACUUCUACCCGGGUAGCGUGACCGUGACCUGGAAGGCAGACGGCAGCACCGUCACCCGGGGCGUGGAGACCACCCAGGCCUCCAAACAGAGCAACAGCAAGUAUGUGGCCAGCAGCUACCUGACCCUGACGGGCAGCGAGUGGAAAUCUAGAGGCAGUUACAGCUGCGAGGUCACGCACGAGGGGAGCACUGUGGCGAAGACAGUGAAGCCCUCAGAGUGUUCCUAGGGCCCCGGGCCCCUCUUGCCCUCACCCCCUCCCCAGCCCUCCAUGGACCCCUGGGCCCCCGCCCCAGCAGGUUCUACCCUCCCACCCUGGUUCCCCCAGCCCUUCCUCCUGCACACAAUCAGCUCUCAAUAAAAUGUCCUCAUUGUCAUUCAGAAA